rnacentral:rRNA from 1 species
ACGAACGCUGGCGGCUUGCUUAACACAUGCAAGUCGAACGGAAAGGCCUCUUUCGGGGGGUACUCGAGUGGCGAACGGGUGAGUAACACGUGAGUAACCUGCCCUUGACUUUGGGAUAACUUCAGGAAACUGGGGCUAAUACCGGAUAGGAGCUCCUGCUGCAUGGUGGGGGUUGGAAAGUUUCGGCGGUUGGGGAUGGACUCGCGGCUUAUCAGCUUGUUGGUGGGGUAGUGGCUUACCAAGGCUUUGACGGGUAGCCGGCCUGAGAGGGUGACCGGCCACAUUGGGACUGAGAUACGGCCCAGACUCCUACGGGAGGCAGCAGUGGGGAAUAUUGCACAAUGGGUGGAAGCCUGAUGCAGCAACGCCGUGUGCGGGAUGACGGCCUUCGGGUUGUAAACCGCUUUCGCUCAUGACGAAGCUUUGUGUGACGGUAGUGGGUAAAGAAGCACCGGCUAACUACGUG